AGACCGUUCUGUGAUUUGCCUUUAUUGUGCGUUAAAGUCUAGUCCAAAUGCUGCGGUCUUUAAAAUAAUCCCCUAAUUCCUUAAUAUGAAUUGUCCCAGUAGGCUAUUUAAUGCGUAAACGUCACCAUAUAAACCCAGGGGCCCGCCGACUGUCAGUGUCUCAUUAUCGGUGCAAGACACACGUUUAAGCAGAGAAACACGCAAACAUAAAGCGAUCAAAUAUGGAACGUGCUUCUCUUUGGAUUCCUCAAAUAUAGCCAGUCACCAUGGCGACGGUCGUUUCUUCGGUAACCCCAGUCACCGUUGCCAUGGCAUCCUUGUUUCCACAGUAACCCCCCAGAUGAAUUGGAAGUCUCUAAUAAGACUAUUUUGUCAUCACGCUUUGCGCGACUAAAAUACAAGCCCAAACAAAACAUGGCAGCGCCACUAUCGCCAAUCAUCAAGCUCACUUAGUGACUUUAGCAUUGACACAAAAACAAAUUAGAGUAUGAAGGUCUGUUUACAAAUUGCCACCAUGGACUGCCUCCAAAAAAAAAAAUAACCAGGUACAAAUCAGAGAGGUGCCCAGCUGAGGGAUGCGGAAGGAGAGGCAGCUCGUGAGGAAUUAUGAAUGGGCUGGGAGCACAUCAUUGUGUCUGGCUGUCCAGAGUGCGCUACUGCGUGCCCUCAGCAGAGGCUGCUGUUCUUCCACUGAUAAAACUGGUAAAAGUUGUUCCAUUUGUCUGCACAGACCUCCUGACGACCCCAAUUAUACUGCCUCCCAUAGGGGCGGAAGAACUCUGGUCUUCCCGUUAGGUCAGAUUGGCCAAAGUUAAGAAUUGAGACAGAACUCCCACAGGAUAAUUUAAUCUUCCUUACCCUCCUCCUGCUGACUGGUGUCCUUUAACCUGGACUAUGUGCCUACUGUACCAGUUCUCCCCCUCCAGUGGAACACCACUCAAUCCAAAAUGCAACAAAAUGCAAUCACAAGAAUGACAACAAACAGAUGUAUAACAUAUUCCAAGUACAGUUUUGUAGUUGCAGUUGCCUUUAUGACUGCUUCUCUUCUGGAGUUAACACAUUGUGAGUGGAACCAUUACAGGAUCGAAAGUGAUUCCGGCAGUAGCAGAAUUCAGCUGGAACUGUUAUGGAUAUUUCUCCAUGCUGCUUUCAACUUCAAAAGGACAGAUUCAGGAAACAGCCAGCAAUUUUACAAAGCACAUUUAAUUCCUGGACUUUACACAGAUUUCUACAUUCUGUAUCCAUAUUGCUGGGAAAUUAUAUUUAUUGUGGAUAAUAACUAACAAAAAGCUUUUACCUAAAGUCAAAAGUGGCAAAAACUGAGGCCAACCCUGAUUUGCUGAUAUGAAACUGUGAUACAAAUCAAAGACUGUUAGCCAUAUGCCUUUGGUUAGCUCUGUGUGCUCUGUAUUGCUAAUAUGUGAAACACACACCUACGUACGUGUGCUGGUUGCAGCCUUUCCCCUGACCAACAAAUGGAGAACGAUACAGAGGUAUGCACGUACACACAAACACAGACACGCACACACAAUGUAAAUGGUGCCUGGCUCUCUUUUAUCCCAGAGUGCACUGGUGUUUUUUGGGAUGGGGCAGAAUAAUGUCAGGGGAAGGCUGUGUAUGCCAAUAUUUGUGUUGUGUUAUUCUGUGCUGUC